rnacentral:rRNA from 1 species
UGUCUAAGUAUAAACACCUUUAUACACGUGAAACUGCGAAUGGCUCAUUACAACAGUUAUAGUUUCUUUGAACGUCCUUUACUACUUGGAUAACCGUAGUAAUUCUAGAGCUAAUACAUGCCUACNCGCCCGACUUCGGAAGGGUGGUAUUUAUUAGAUAAAAAACCAUCGCACCUUCCAGUGCUUUGAGAUGAUUCAUAAUAACUCUUCGGAUCGCAUGGCCUUGCGCCGGCGACGGUUCAUUCAAAUUUCUGCCCUAUCAACUUUCGAUGGUAGAGUCGUGGUCUACCAUGGUGUCGACGGGUAACGGGGGAUUAGGGUUCGAUUCCGGAGAGGGAGCCUGAGAAACGGCUACCACAUCCAAGGAAGGCAGCAGGCGCGCAAAUUACCCAAUCCCAAACCGGGGAGGUAGUGACAAGAAAUAGCAAUAGGAGGCCCUUACCGGUCUUCUAAUUGGAAUGAGAAGAAUUUAAAUCCCUUGUCNAUGAUCCAUUGGAGGGCAAGUCUGGU